rnacentral:misc_RNA from 1 species
GAUGGUUCAAUAGGCCUCCAGUUUCUUUCUCAUUUAUUUGUCAUCAGAAUAACUUAACAAUUAGUUGCGAUUUUGUGAAAAUAAAUUCAUGCUGUGUUUGGAUAUAUUUAUUUCAAAUGAGGAUAUUUGGAUAAGAUUUUUAUUUAAAUUGCUUGAAUUUACAUAAAUGAAGAUUAAAUUUGUGAAUGUGUUUCAAAACUUGAAGUGGAUUUGAAAUUAUUUUUUAUAGUUGUCU